rnacentral:rRNA from 1 species
AGCAGCCGCGGUAAUUCCAGCUCCAAUAGCGUAUAUUAAAGUUGUUGCAGUUAAAAAGCUCGUAGUUGAAUUUCGGGGUUAGUAGGUUGGUCAUGCCUCUGGUAUGUACUGGUCUCACUGAUUCCUCCUUCCUGAUGAACCUUAAUGCCAUUUAUUUGGUGUUUUGGGGAAUUUGGACUGUUACUUUGAAAAAAUUAGAGUGUUUAAAGCAAGCUAACGCUUGAAUACAUUAGCAUGGAAUAAUGAAAUAGGACGUUCGAUCCUAUUUUGUUGGUUUCUAGGAUUGACGUAAUGAUUAAUAGGGAUAGUUGGGGGCAUUAGUAUUCAAUUGUCAGAGGUGAAAUUCUUGGAUUUAUUGAAGACUAACUACUGCGAAAGCAUUUGCCAAGGAUGUUUUCAUUAAUCAAGAACGAAAGUUAGGGGAUCGAAGACGAUCAGAUACCGUCGUAGUCUUAACCAUAAACUAUGCCGACUAGGGAUCGGAUGA